AACCGCCGUAUGCGGAACCGCAUGUACGGUGGUGUGGGAGGUCGGUAAAUGUGAAAAUAGGAGGCAAAUGCCUUUUAUGAUUAGCAUUUACCUCCUACCCGAU
rnacentral:ncRNA from 1 species